rnacentral:rRNA from 1 species
CGGAUUGUAAAGUCCUUUAGUCAGGGAAGAAAAAAAUGACGGUACCUGAGUAAGAAGUCCCGGCUAACUACGUGCCAGCAGCCGCGGUAAUACGUAGGGGGCAAGCGUUAUCCGGAAUUACUGGGGGUAAAGGGCGUGCAGCCGGAGAGACAAGUCAGAUGUGAAAUCCACGGGCUCAACCCGUGAACUGCAUUUGAAACUGUUUCCCUUGAGUGUCGGAGAGGUAAUCGGAAUUCCUUGUGUAGCGGUGAAAUGCGUAGAUAUAAGGAAGAACACCAGUGGCGAAGGCGGAUUACUGGACGAUAACUGACGGUGAGGCGCGAAAGCGUGGGGAGCAAACAG